rnacentral:misc_RNA from 1 species
CUGCCCUCAAGCACGGCUUGUGUGUUGGGCCUCCGUCCCUCUCGGGGGACGGGCCCGAAAGGCAGCGGCGGCACCGGUCCGGUCCUCGAACGUAUGGGGCUUUGUCACUCGUUUUGUAGGAUUGGCCGGCGCUUGCCGACACCAUCAAUCUUUUUCCA